rnacentral:rRNA from 1 species
GCGAACGCUGGCGGCAUGCCUAACACAUGCAAGUCUGACGGGCGGGGGGCAACCUCUGUCAGUGGCGGACGGGUGAGGAACGCGUAGGAACGUAUCCAAGGGUGGGGGACAACCGCGGGAAACUGCGGCUAAUACCGCAUGGGGCCUUUAGGGAGACCUGAAAGGGGAGACCUGGGGCCAAAGGCUGGGGAGACCUAGUCGCCUGUGGAGCGGCCUGCGUCCGAUUAGCUAGUUGGUGGGGUGACGGCUUACCAAGGCAGCGAUCGGUAGCUGGUCUGAGAGGAUGAUCAGCCACACUGGGACUGAGACACGGCCCAGACUCCUACGGGAGGCAGCAGGUGGGGAGUAUUGGACAAUGGGCGAAAGCCUGAUCCAGCAAUGCCGCGUGGGUGAAGAAGGUCUU